UACGUAGGGUGCAAGCGUUGUCCGGAAUUAUUGGGCGUAAAGAGCUUGUAGGCGGUUUGUCGCGUCUGCUGUGAAAUUUCGGGGCUCAACCCCGAACUUGCAGUGGGUACGGGCAGACUAGAGUGUGGUAGGGGAGACUGGAAUUCCUGGUGUAGCGGUGAAAUGCGCAGAUAUCAGGAGGAACACCGAUGGCGAAGGCGGGUAGCUGGGCCGACACUGACGCUGAUGCGCGAAAGCCAGGGGAGCGAACGGG
rnacentral:rRNA from 1 species